AGAGAACUGGCACAUCCCUGAAGCACUGCACAGUGCACAUGGCGACCAUGCGUGCGAAGUGGAAGUGAAGCUAUCAUUCCCUGAAGGAACGUCUGAUACUUAGUGGAUUUAAAGACAUCACAAUGAUGAAUUCACUACACGGCACAUGGUGUUCUGAUUCCUAAAGAUGACCAAACCUGAGUUCAGAUGUUGCUGUCCAUUUUAGGCAUCAAAGUAACAUUACAGCAAUUUGGACAUUCUGAUAUAAAAUAAAUAUACAACUAUAA